rnacentral:rRNA from 1 species
GAUGAACGCUGGCGGCGUGCCUAAUACAUGCAAGUCGAGCGAACGGACGAGAAGCUUGCUUCUCUGAUGUUAGCGGCGGACGGGUGAGUAACACGUGGAUAACCUACCUAUAAGACUGGGAUAACUUCGGGAAACCGGAGCUAAUACCGGAUAAUAUUUUGAACCGCAUGGUUCAAAAGUGAAAGACGGUCUUGCUGUCACUUAUAGAUGGAUCCGCGCUGCAUUAGCUAGUUGGUAAGGUAACGGCUUACCAAGGCAACGAUGCAUAGCCGACCUGAGAGGGUGAUCGGCCACACUGGAACUGAGACACGGUCCAGACUCCUACGGGAGGCAGCAGUAGGGAAUCUUCCGCAAUGGGCGAAAGCCUGACGGAGCAACGCCGCGUGAGUGAUGAAGGUCUUCGGAUCGUAAAACUCUGUUAUUAGGGAAGAACAUAUGUGUAAGUAACUGUGCACAUCUUGACGGUACCUAAUCAGAAAGCCACGGCUAACUACGUGCCAGCAGCCGCGGUAAUACGUAGGUGGCAAGCGUUAUCCGGAAUUAUUGGGCGUAAAGCGCGCGUAGGCGGUUUUUUAAGUCUGAUGUGAAAGCCCACGGCUCAACCGUGGAGGGUCAUUGGAAACUGGAAAACUUGAGUGCAGAAGAGGAAAGUGGAAUUCCAUGUGUAGCGGUGAAAUGCGCAGAGGAUAUGGAGGAACACCAGUGGCGAAGGCGACUUUCUGGUCUGUAACUGACGCUGAUGUGCGAAAGCGUGGGGAUCAAACAGGAUUAGAUACCCUGGUAGUCCACGCCGUAAACGAUGAGUGCUAAGUGUUAGGGGGUUUCCGCCCCUUAGUGCUGCAGCUAACGCAUUAAGCACUCCGCCUGGGGAGUACGACCGCAAGGUUGAAACUCAAAGGAAUUGACGGGGACCCGCACAAGCGGUGGAGCAUGUGGUUUAAUUCGAAGCAACGCGAAGAACCUUACCAAAUCUUGACAUCCUUUGACAACUCUAGAGAUAGAGCCUUCCUCUUCGGGGGACAAAGUGACAGGUGGUGCAUGGUUGUCGUCAGCUCGUGUCGUGAGAUGUUGGGUUAAGUCCCGCAACGAGCGCAACCCUUAAGCUUAGUUGCCAUCAUUAAGUUGGGCACUCUAAGUUGACUGCCGAUGACAAACCGGAGGAAGGUGGGGAUGACGUCAAAUCAUCAUGCCCCUUAUGAUUUGGGCUACACACGUGCUACAAUGGACAAUACAAAGGGCAGCGAAACCGCGAGGUCAAGCAAAUCCCAUAAAGUUGUUCUCAGUUCGGAUUGUAGUCUGCAACUCGACUACAUGAAGCUGGAAUCGCUAGUAAUCGUAGAUCAGCAUGCUACGGUGAAUACGUUCCCGGGUCU